CACUCAAAUGAAUAAAGGUAUAAAUAUGACUUUAUAGCCAAAAUUCAUUAGGGUUUCUUUUGGAGAAAAUUGGUGAGAACUUGUCUCUCCUUUUCUCUCUAAAGAGGCCGGCCCCUUGGAGGGUGUAUCUAGCCAUACUAACUACUCCAAGGUCACUCAUUUUUUCUUCUCCAAUCUAACCUUGGUGAAGAUACUUAGAGGUUCUCAAUUUUGGGAACUUGGAGAAACCUUUUCAUCCAUCCAAAUCCAUAAAUUUUAGAUGCAAGGAAUGAAGGCCCUCUCUUUGGGUGAUUAGCCUUUGCUUAUGCAAGGAGGAAUCUACAAAGGUAUAAAUUUCAACUCACUUUGUUUUGAGUUGAGUUUUGGUUCACCAAUCUACUAGGCUUUGAAUUUCAUGGGUAAUGUUUUGUUUUUAAGUGCAUGCAAGCAUGGUUCCGCCUUUAAUUGUUAAUUGCAUGCUUAUAGAUGUUGCUUAAAUGAACAUGUUUUCACAAAAUAAUCCUUCACCACCCCCUUCACUAUUAAUGGUUUGAAGGGAGUGGUCAUCUCUGCUACACACAUAUCUACUCCCUCUCUUCCAUGACCAUCACCUUCCUCAAUCUCUGUUCAUUCAAACUCCAGUUGGUAAAUUAUAGCUUUAUUCUUGUAAAAAUGAGGCACCUUGGAUGAGUGUUUCACUUGUUGUUCUUCAAUCAAUAGCUUCUCAUAUUCUGUGGCCGUGAUUACCAAUUCUUGUAACUCAUUGAAUUGCACAUUAUAAAACUUAUUUCUCAAUGGCAGUCUCAAUGCCUUCUGAGUAAUGGAUAUAAGUUGGGCAUGGUUGAUAGAGAAUUGGCACUUCAUCCUUGUCUUCCUAAACCUCAUCAUGAAGUCUUAUGUGGACUCAUGCUUAUAUUGCUUCACCUCAACUAGAUCAUUGAUAGUCAUCUCGGGCUUUACCCUAUAAAACUGUUUGUGGAAAGCCAUCUCCAUUUUCCCCAGUUAGCAAUGGAAUUGGGGGGCAACAGAGAAUACCACUGAGAUGUUAGGCCCACUAAUGAAUUCCUAAACAACCUCAACUUGUAGUUAAUGUUGGAAGUAUGCCCACAAAGCUACUCAUUUGAUGUAAUAGCUUUUGGAUUACUUAUUGUAAUAAACUUUUAUAUGUUUAAUGAAGGGCAAAGCUUAUUGUUAAUCACUAUUUAUUGUAUCAUGUGUUUAAGCAAUAAGAGAAUCCAAGGAAUGUAUUUGAUCUAAGAGACAAGUGAUUUAAGUAAGUUAGAUUAAUGAGACCUUUCUCUUAUGUUCAUUCCUAAAACGUUCCUAGCCAUAGGAUUGCCAAUUGGGCAUUGACAAUCCGCUAAGGUUAGUAUGUGUUAUGUCGACUCAAGCGUGAGUACGACUAGUCUCAAGUCAAUUAGUGUUGGACACUAAGACAAACACAUAGGUGCUCGAAAGUGUAAUCGAGUACACUGAACAACGAUCAAAAGAGAGUUCGAACAUACAUGUCAUGUAAGAACUCGAUAGUUGCAACAUGCAAAGUAGUCCUUUGACCUGAGGCAUCAUAGAUGUCUAAUGGUUAAGUGCUUGAUCUUUGAUCAUGUCAAAGGCAUUCCAUUGGAGUGUCCACGGCAUUGUUGGGUUCAAGCUAUCUAGUCAUGUAGGCAUAUGAAUGCGCAACAAGGGAUCUCUAACCUUCCAUGGUGGAAGGAGAAUACUCUAAGAUAUGAUUCGAGAGUCUUUGGCCAAAGCAUAUGAGUAUGACUUAGGAAGUUUGUUCCAAAUCAUAUUCAGUUGAAUCAUAUAGAGAAGUAUCACAUUGGAUAGUAGACCUGAAACAAACUAUCACUCAAACAAUGUGAUUAAGAGUAUUAUAUUAGAAAAUGACCGUAUUGCAUUGUAGUUGUAACUGGAUAGGUUCUCCAACCACUUCUACUUAGCUUGGGUAACCAUGACAUACUGCUAGGUGUCACUCAUGGUUUGUGGAAGCCUUUGAAGAUUAGCAAACACUAAUCAAAGGGAGAAUUGAAAUAGUUUCAAUUCACAAUCGAUCGUUAAGAGUAACAAUCGCCCACUACCUCGCUAAAUGGAACCUAAUGGAUCGUACACUGAGUAAGGAUGCAAGUGAAGAAAUUAAAUGAAAUGGAUAAGCAAUUAAAUGGUUUAAUUGAUAAAUGGUCAAGGUUAAUUUAUUAGUUAAUUAAUUAUACGAAAUGUUCGUAUUGGGCUUUUAAGUUGGUUUUGGGCUUCGGGGCCUAAAAGUGUUUUUGUCCACAAGGCCCAUUAUGUUUAAGUUGUAUGACAACUAAAAUAAAAUGGGCAAUUAGCCCAAUAACAAAGGUAAGGCCGGCCAUAAGGGGGAUGGUUGCAAACUUGGAUUAAUUACAAGUUUGCCACUCACUUGAAUUGAAGUAUAAAAUCAACUUUAUAGCUUUAUUUCUCAUUAGGGUUUUCUUGAGGCAAAGAGGUGAAACACUUUCUCUCUUUUUCUCUACAAGGAGGCCGGCCACUUAGAGAGGAUUUAGCUAGCAAUCUUUUCUUUUCUAAGUCAUCCAUUUCAUCUUCACACCUCAUCCUUGGUGAAGAGACUUAGAGACAUCAAGCUUUUGAUGUUUUGGAGAACAAAUCCUCAAAUCCUCAAAGAAGCAAAGGAGCACUAAAAGGAGGAAAAUCACAAGGAAGAUCCAAGGAACUAGGAGGUGACUUGAAGGCCCUCCACUUGGGUGAAUCCCUUGUGUAAACAAGGAUGAGCUUCAAGGGUAAUAAAUCUCUAAAUCUUACCUUCUCUUUAAUGUUGUUAAAGAGUCUUAUGGUUCACCAUUUACUAGGCUUUGAAAGUCAUGGGUUUUAUGAAUUGUUUUUUAAUGCAUGCCUACUUUAAUGUGUUAAUAGUUUGCAUAUGUAUUCAAAUGUUCUUACUUGUUCUUAGCUAGGACAAAAUUUUUCCUUCAUGUGGUAUUAGAGCCUAGGCCUAGUUUAUGGUGAAUCCUUUUGGGUUUUGUGAUUUUUCAUGAUUUGUGAUUUAAAUGUUGUAAAUGUUACAAGCUUUGUUCUUGCUUUGAAUAUAAAUUUUGCUUGAAAAUUUAGCAUCUCAAAUGUUGUAGAUGUAUUUCAUUUAAGCAUGAAUAUUGGAACUAAAAUUUGGUGCCAUGUUUGUUGGGAAAUUCGGCCAAAUCCAAAAGGUGGUUUUUCGGGUUCAUGUUUGUCUUGUUAAAAUGGUUUUAAAGUGACUUUUGGAACCCCUAAGUACCCUAGGAUAUUAACCCUCUUUUGUGUUGUGAAAAUUUGAGUUUUAAUGAGUGAAAACAUUCAUGGAGCUCUUAUGAGUUUUCAUGUGUGUUCUUCAAUGUUCUUGAGUUUCUUACCAAGAACAAAAAGGUUUGGAAUUUUGAUUCAAAGUGUUUGGUGUUUUUCAUAAAGUUUUGGUUUAUUUUUUAUGGGUGAUGGAUUAUUGGUGAGGAUGAUAAAUGCUAUUAAUGUUUCACAAAAAAAUUUUCUUACAACCCAUCCCAUUUACCUUUAUUCUCACCCACCUAUUCCACUUGCAUAUUGCACAUGCAUGCACCACUUGCCAAAAACCCUUUCACACUCCUUUUUUCACUCUAAAAACCGGCCAACCCCAAGUGGGGGUGAUUUUGGGUCUUUUGUGCAAUUACAUAAAGUUUUGAUACUUUUGUGUUUUUGUAUUUUGGCCCAAAAGUUUACGUUUUUAUGUUAAGGCCCAAAAACUCCAAAGGACAAAUUGUUUUGCUCCUUUAAUGAUGUUUUUACAUUGUUAAAAUUUUGGGAUCUAGUUGUAAUUACAUGAAGUUGUGGACUCUUGUGUUUUUACAAAGUGACCCCAAAAGUUUUUGUUUAUUAAAUAAUGGCCCAAUUGUUGAGGUCAUUGUUUUUGGCCCAAAUAAGAUGAGAACAAAAUGGUUUUGUCUCUUUAAUGAGAAUUGGAUUUUCAUUUCAAAUAGUUCCAUUUAAAUUAAUUCUAUGAAUCCGAAAAUCAAUUGUUUAAGUUGCUUUCUUAGUUAAUGUGAUUGAUUAAGAAAAGAGUGAUUAUGAACUAAAGGCCUCGAUAAUUGAGCUAUGUGAUUGGCCGCUUUACAUUAUGAAUGUUUGGGUUAAGUAGUUUAGAUUUGAAUGUAAUUUGAUUAAUUCAAUUUGUUGUAAAUGGACAUAAGUCCAUCUUAUGUGUUGUAAAAUGGCAUAAGCCCUUCUCUUUAUUUCAAGUAUUCCUUUUUGUUUAAAUGUAUGCAAAUUGGAAUAGUUGGGUCCAACGCCCAAUAGGAAAUAACGGUUUAAUUAGAUUAAACGCGUAACUAAAAUCAACAACUAUCUACCUUAAACCCAAGGUCUAACACAAGGCUCGUGUUGGAUCAAAUCAAACGGUCCAUAAUCUUCCUAAAACCUAAUAUGACUAUAUAGUCCAUAUGAGGAUGCAAAGCAUUCGUUAGUAGUUCCAUAUAGUCCCGCUUAUUUCAUCGAAAUAGUGGGAGUAUUAUAAACUACUAAUUCAUAUUAACUUGGACCAAUGGUUGUGAUAGGCCAAGUUCUUUUAAUAAGAUUAAAAUGAUUUUGAUGUAGCCCAAAAUUACUCCCUCAACAAAACGAAUAUUAAGUUGAUAAGCGAGAGAUGUUUUGAACAUCUCUUCGUAGGCCUUCCACCAUGGUGGGCUUAAUCGUUUGUGACUCAUACACCGUAUUCGUCCAGUUCUGGGGUAUGCAAAGUAUGUGCUUACAUUCAGGAGAAGCCUAUAAACAUAUGAUGAAGUGAAGGUAGGCAACGAGUAUGGUCAAUAUGAUAUUCUUCUGAGGCCAUUCUUGAACCCCUACUUGAACUAGCAUGGUGGGAAUGACUUAACUAAGUGCAAUGGUGCCAAUAUGAUAUUCUUCUGAGGCAUCAUUCUCUAGAGGCCAAACUAGAUGGGUAAUUACAAAAGUUGUAAAUGGCUAAAGCGCUAUCCUCUCAUCAUUAUUGUUGCUAGCCAAUAUGAUAUUCUUCUGAGGUGGGCUUGGUAAUGGUGAGUCUCCCAUACCCCGCUUAGAGUUCAAAAUAACUCUCGAAUUCCAUUGAGGGAUGUAGAAUUUGCCAAAAAUAGUGGGUGGUACUAUUUGAUUUAAGACCCAAUCAAGUAGUUUUAAAACAAAUAAUCUAAUACGAUUUCUGUUAUGUUAUGUAGUUAACGACAUGCCUAAAAUAAUACCCACCAUUAUACUUGACAAAAGGGGCCUUAGGGGCCAACGUUUCCUUGCUUGGUAUCGCCACAUUGAGAAUGUCUCAAAGGUGAAAGACAUAUUGUAUGUGCUUAAGCAAUCCCCUCCUCAUGUACCUCCUACGAAACUAGCUUCAAAGGAGGAGUGUCAAAAUUAUGUUAGACACUAUGAGGAUGACUUACAAGCCAAAUGCUUAAUCCUCACUUCACUUAGUGAGGAGCUUAUGAAGCUACAUAAGCACAUGGACACUUCUUGUGCCAUGGUUGAAAGUUUGCAUAAGAUGCAUGACAAUGAGACUAGUAAUGUACGAUUCUCAAAUGUUUGUAGUCUAAUGAAUGCCAAAAUGGCAAAGGGGACAUCGGUCCAUAAACAUGGACAAAAGAUGGAAAGGAUCUUUCAAGAUCUUCAAAGUUUAGGAACUUCCAUCGAUGGGAAAAUGGCCCAAGACUUUUUCCUUGCAUCUCUCUCGGAUGAUUUCACUAAGUUUAUUGUAAACUAUAAAGUGAAUAGAUUCGAUCAUACUUUAAACGAGAUGAUUGACAUGUGCUGUAAAUUUGAAAAAGGUUUCAAAAGGGACAGUGGGAGUGAGGAUGCAAUCACAAGGAAAAUGUUGCAUAAGAAGAAGGCAAAGAAAUCCAAAUGAACAUGCUUUCAUUGUGGAAAGGAUGAACGUUGGAAGAAGAAAUACAGGGUGCGCAUUACGAUCCUUAUGACACGAACUUAUGAAGAGACUAUUUCUGUCAUACAGAGUGCUUUUACAGUGAGCUCCAAUUCCUGGAUAUUUGAUUCAAAUGCUAGUCAACAUAUCUGUAAUACGAUGCAGGGACUAGCAGGGAGCAGGACACUGCGCAAUGGGGAGAUGGUUGUGCGAGUUGGGAACAGCACUAAAAUCUCUGCAAAAGCAAUAGGCACCUACAUGCUUAAACUACCCUCUGAGGAAGUCCUGGAACUUAAAAAUUGUUUAUAUUUUCCUUCAUGUAUAAAGAAUUUGAUUUCUAUCUCUAAGCUUUUACGAUAUGGGCAUUCAGUAUUGUUUACAAAAUGAGUUGCACUUUAUACUUGAACGGUCGUAUUAUCUCUCAUGGUAAUAUGAUAGAGGGACUUUUUCACCAAGAGACGAAUAGUGGGAUGCACUGUAUUGAAAGCAGGAAUACCUCAAAACCCAAAAGGGCUAGAGAAGAAGUUAACCAAGAAAGGAUGUGGCAUCUUAAACUUGGACAUGUGAACCUUGAUAAGAUUCGCAAGAUGUCGAAAGACGGAUAUCUUCGCCCAUUAGGUAAUGACCAGAUGGGUACUUGUGAAUGCGCUUGAAAGGGAAGAUGACCAAAUCUCCAUUUACUAGAAAAUGAGAGCGUGCCAUUGAAAUUCUAGGGUUAAUCCACACUGACGUAUGUGGGCCUAUGUCUACUACGUCGAGAGGAGGCUUCUCCUACUAUAUCACAUUCACCGACGAUCACUCUCGGUUUGGCUAUGUGUAUCUUAUGAAGUACAAGUCAGAAUCCUUUGAAAGGUUCAAAGAAUUCAAGAAUGAAGUUGAGAAGCAAACUGGGAAACAGAUAAAGACCCUAAGAUCGGAUCGAGGGGGUGAAUAUCUAAGUAAUGAAUUCCUAGACUACCUCAAGGAGUGUGGAAUAGUAUCACAGUGGACUCCACCAGGAACUCCUUAACAUAACGGAGUUUCUGAACGGAGAAAUCGAACCUUGAUGAACAUGGUUCGUUCUAUGAUAAGUUCCGCUGACUUACCAGUUUCAUUCUGGGGAUAUGCACUACAAACAAUAGCUUAUUUGCUAAAUAGAGUGUCUUCCAAGUCAGUUCCACAAACGCCAUAUGAGAUAUGGCAUGGCAAAAGCACAAAUCUUAAUCAUAUUAGGAUUUGGGGUUGUCCGGCUUACGUAAAAAGGCUUGAAGCUGACAAGCUUGAAGCAAGAUCAGUUAAGUGCUAUUUUGUGGGGUAUUCCAAACAGACUUUGGGAUACGAAUUCUAUAACCCUGACGACCAGAAAGUCUUUUUCACCAGAACUACUAUGUUCCUUGAGGAUGAAUUCAUUCUCAAAAGAAAUAGCAAGAAAACGAUAGAAUUGAAGGAAAUUAAUGAGAUUAAUGAAGAACCACAAACAAGCACUCGACAAGUUGACAACCCUAUUCCUAAACCCCUAGCUCCACGUAGAUCUGAACGGGUUAGUAAGCCACCUAAGAGGUAUGGCUUAGAUAAUGACUUUGGGGAAUUGCACAUUCUAGGUGACAAUGACACAAAGAAGGACCCUAGAGACUACACUGAAGCAAUGUCCGACAUUGAUUCAAAGAGAUGGCAAAAGGCCAUGAAAUCCGAGAUGGAUUCCAUGUAUCAAAAUCAGGUCUGGACUCUUGUAGACCCUUCAGAAGGUAUAGUACCUGUUGGAAACAAAUGGGUCUUCAAGAGGAAGAUAGGCGUUGAUGGGAACGUGGAGACUUAUAAGGCUAGACUAGUAGCCAAGGGUUACAGGCAAAUAGAAGGGAUUGACUAUGAAGAAACCUUUUCUCCUGUACCCAUGAUAAAGUCCAUUCGGAUUUUGCUUGUUAUAGCUGCGUACCAUGAUUAUGAGAUAUGGCAAAUGGACGUGAAGACGGCCUUUCUGAACGGCUACCUAGAGGAAGAGUUCUAUAUGACUCAACCCGAAGGUUUUGUGUCCAAGUCUGAAAAGACUAAGGUAUGCAAGCUUCAAAGGUCCAUUUAUGGACUUAAGCAAGCCUCCAGGAGCUGGAACAUUCGUUUCGAUACUGAAAUCAAAACAUUUGGUUUUACUCAAAACGAAGACGACAAUUGUGUUUAUCAAAAAGUUGUUGGGGAUGCAGUGGUAUUCCAAAUGUUAUAUGUAGAUGACAUAUUACUAUUCGGGAAUGACACUGCAGUACUUUCUUCUGUAAAAGUGUGGUUGUCCAAAACCUUCCACAUGAAAGAUUUAGGAGAUGCAUCUUAUGUACUUGGGAUAAAGCUCUAUCGUGAUAGAUCCAGAAAAUUAAUUGGAUUAUCCCAAUCUAUGUACAUAGACAAGAUGCUAAGUAGGUUCCAGAUGGAACAAUCUAAGAAAGGUCUUCUUCCUGUAAGAUAUGGAAUUCACCUUUCUAAGUCCAUGGGACCUAAAACUCCUGAAGAGAUACGGCAGAUGAGUGUUAUUCCUUAUACUUCCGCCAUAGGAAGUCUCAUGUAUGCCAUGAUAUGCACAAGGCCUAAUAUCACAUAUGCUGUGAGCAUUACUAGUCGAUAUCAAUCUAACCUAGGAUUAGAACAUUGGACAGCUGUCAAGACGGUCCUUAAGUACUUAAGAAGAACUAAGGACAUGUUCCUCGUUUAUGGCGGAGCAACAGAGUUGCGAGUGGAAGCCUAUACAGACGCAGAUUUCCAAUCUGACGUCGAUGAUAGAAGUUCCAACUCCGGAUAUGUAUUCACUCUGAAUGGUGGAGCUGUUAGCUGGAAAAGUAAGAAACAAAGUGUAAUUGCUGAUUCCACGACGGAGGCAGAAUAUGUCGCUGCAGCUGAAGCCGGCAAAGAAGCGUUCUAGAUGAAGAAGUUCAUUAUUGAACUUGGACUGGUUCCAACCAUUACAUCACCAGUAACUUUGUACUGUGAUAAUAGUGGGGCGAUAACUCAAGCCAAGGAACCCAGGGCUCAUCAAAAGAAUAAGCAUUUUGACAGGCGCUUUAAUAUCAUUAAAAGAUAUGCUGCCGAGGGGAAAGUCAACAUGCUCAAAGUUGCCUCAGCAGAUAACGUAGCAGAUCCACUAACAAAGCCAAUGUCUCAAAUCCAACUUGACCGUCAUAUGGAAAAUAUAGGUAUUAGAUACAUGGGAAGGUGGCUUUGAGUGCAAGUGGGAGAUUGUUGGAAGUAUGCCCACAAAGCCACUCAUUUGAUGUAAUAGCUUUUGGAAUACUUAUUGUAUUAAACUUUUAUAUGUUUAAUGAAGGGCAAAGCUUAUUGUUAAUCACUAUUUAUUGUAUCAUGUGUUUAAGCAACAAGAGAAUCCAAGGAAUGUAUUUGAUCUAAGAGACAAGUGAUUUAAGUAAGUUAGAUUAACGAGACAUUUCUCUUAUGUUCAUUCCUAAAACGUUGCUAGCCAUAGGAUUGCCAAUUGGGCAUUGACAAUCCGCUAAGGUUAGUAUGUGUUAUGUCGACUCAAGCGUGAGUAUGACUAGUCUUAAGUCAAUUAGUGUUGGACACUACGACAAACACAUAGGUGCUCGAAAGAGUAAUCGAGUACACUGAACAACGAUCAAAAGAGAGUUCGAACAUACAUGUCAUGUAGGAACUCAAUAGUUGCAACAUGCAAAGUAGUCAUUUGACCUGAGGCAUCAUAGAUGUCUAAUGGUUAGGUCCCUGAUCUUUGAUCAUGUCAAAGGCAUUCCAUUGGAGUGUCCACGACAUUGUUGGGUUCAAGCUAUCUAGUCAUGUAGGCAUAUGAAUGCGCAACAAGGGAUCUCUAACCUUCCAUGGUGGAAGGAGAAUACUCUAAGAUAUGAUUUGAGAGUCUUUGGCCAAAGCAUAUGAAUAUGACUUAGGAAGUUUGUUCCAAAUCAUAUUCAAUUGAAUCAUAUAGAGAAGUAUCACAUUGGAUAGUAGACAUGAAACAAACUACCACUCAAAUAAUGUGAUUAAGAGUAUUGUAUUAGAGAAUGACCGUAUUGCAUUGUAGUUGUAACUGGAUAGGUUCUCCAACCACUUCUACUUAGCUUGGGUAACCAUGACAUACUGCUAGGUGUCACUCAUGGUUUGUGGAAGCCUUGAAGAUUAGCAAACACUAAUCAAAGGGAGAAUUGAAAUAGUUUCAAUUCACAAUCGAUCGUUAAGAGUAACAAUCGCCCACUACCUCGCUAAAUGGAACCUAAUGGAUUGUACACCGAGUAAGGAUGAAAGUGAAGAAAUUAAAUGAAAUGGAUAAGCAAUUAAAUGGUUUAAUUGAAAAAUGGUCAAGGUUAAUUAAUUAGUUAAUUAAUUAUACGAAAUGUUCGUAUUGGGCUUUUAAGUUGGUUUUGGGCUUCGGGGCCCAAAAGUGUUUUGGUCCACAAGGCCCAUUAUGCUUAAGUUGUAUGACAACUAAAACAAAAUGGGCAAUUUGCCCAAUAACAAAGGUAAGGCCGACCAUAAGGGUGAUGGUUGCAAACUUGGAUUAAUUACAAGUUUGCCACUCACUUGAAAUGAAGUAUAAAAUCAACUUUAUAGCUUUAUUUCUCAUUAGGGUUUUCUUGAGGCAAAGAGGUGAAACACUUUCUCUCUUUUUCUCUACAAGGAGGCCGGCCACUUAGAGAGGAUUUAGCUAGCAAUCUUUUCUUCUCUAAGUCAUCCAUUUCAUCUUCACACCUCAUCCUUGGUGAAGAGACUUAGAGACAUCAAGCUUUUGAUGUUUUGGAGAACAAAUCCUCAAAUCCUCAAAGAAGCAAAGGAGCACUAAAAGGAGGAAAAUCACAAGGAAGAUCCAAGGAACUAGGAGGUGACUUGAAGGCCCUCCACUUGGGUGAAUCCCUUGUGUAAACAAGGAUGAGCUUCAAGGGUAAUAAAUCUCUAAAUCUUACCUUCUCUUUAAUGUUGUUAAAGAGUCUUAUGGUUCACCAUUUACUAGCCUUAUAAAGUCAUGGGUUUUAUGAAUUGUUUUUUAAUGCAUGCCUACUUUAAUAUGUUAAUAGUUUGCAUAUGUAUUCAAAUGUUCUUACUUGUUCUUAGCUAGGACAAAAAUUUUCCUUCAGUUAAGAUUGUCUUCAAAUGCCACACAGUAGUUAGAAAACUUGAAGAUGUGGUUACAAUCCUCCCCACUGAAGGUUGGGAACGCGGGCAUCUUAAAGUUGAGGGGAAAAGGGUUCUGCUCAUCAAUGUACUCGAGGUAGGGUUUUUGGUAUGUGAUCCUGAACAACGAACGAGCCUGUGGUUGGGUAUUUUGGAUCACCAUCCUUCUCUGCU
rnacentral:lncRNA from 1 species